rnacentral:rRNA from 1 species
AUGGCCUCUGCUUGCAAGCUACUGCUCAUGGAUGAGUCCGCGUCCCAUUAGCUAGUUGGUGGGGUAACGGCCCACCAAGGCGACGAUGGGUAGCCGGUCUGAGAGGAUGACCGGCCACACUGGGACUGGAACACGGCCCAGACUCCUACGGGAGGCAGCAGUGGGGAAUAUUGCGCAAUGGGCGAAAGCCUGACGCAGCGACGCCGCGUGAGGGAUGAAGGUCCUCGGAUCGUAAACCUCUGUCAGGAGGGAAGAACCGCCUCGGUGUUAAUCAGCCGUGGUCUGACGGUACCUCCAAAGGAAGCACCGGCUAACUCCGUGCCAGCAGCCGCGGUAAUACGGAGGGUGCGAGCGUUAAUCGGAAUCACUGGGCGUAAAGCGCACGUAGGCUGCUUGGUAAGUCAGGGGUGAAAGCCCGCGGCUCAACCGCGGAAUUGCCUCUGAUACUGCCGAGCUAGAGUCCGGGAGAGGGUAGUGGAAUUCCAGGUGUAGGAGUGAAAUCCGUAGAGAUCUGGAGGAACAUCAGUGGCGAAGGCGACUACCUGGACCGGUACUGACGCUGAGGUGGAAAGCGG